UACGUAGGUGGCAAGCGUUGUCCGGAAUUAUUGGGCGUAAAGCGCACGUAGGCGGCAUUGCAAGUCGGAUGUGAAAUCCCUCGGCUUAACCAAGGAAGUGCAUCCGAAACUGCAGUGCUUGAGUACUUAAGAGGAUCGCGGAAUUCCCGGUGUAGAGGUGAAAUUCGUAGAUAUCGGGAGGAACACCAGUGGCGAAGGCGGCGAUCUGGGAAGAUACUGACGCUGAGGUGCGAAAGCUAGGGGAGCGAACAGG
rnacentral:rRNA from 1 species